GACGAACGCUGGCGGCGCGCUUAACACAUGCAAGUCGAACGGAAAGGCCUGCUUUCCCUUGUGGAUUGCGGGUACUCGCGUGGCGAACGGGUGAGUAACACGUGAGUGAUCUGCCCCCAACUUGGGUAUAAGCCUGGGAAACUGGGUCUAAUUCCCGAUAGGACUGCAGGGUGGUGCCUGUGGUGGAAAACGAUUUUCUAGUGGUUGGGGAUGAGCUCGCGGCCUAUCAGCUUGUUGGUGGGGUAAUGGCCUACCAAGGCGGCGACGGGUAGCCGGCCUGGGAGGGUGGACGGCGACAUUGGGACUGAGAUACGGCCCAGACUCCUACGGGAGGCAGCAGUGGGGAAUAUUGCACAAUGGGCGGAAGCCUGAUGCAGCGACGCCGCGUGGGGGAUGACGGGCUUCGGGUUGUAAACUCCUGGCGACCGCGAGGAAGCCGCCUGGUUGGAAGGGUGGUGACGGUAGUGGUAGAAGAAGCACCGGCUAACUACGUG
rnacentral:rRNA from 1 species